GAUGAACGCUGGCGGCGUGCCUAAUACAUGCAAGUCGAGCGAACGGACGAGAAGCUUGCUUCUCUGAUGUUAGCGGCGGACGGGUGAGUAACACGUGGAUAACCUACCUAUAAGACUGGGAUAACUUCGGGAAACCGGAGCUAAUACCGGAUAAUAUUUUGAACCGCAUGGUUCAAAAGUGAAAGACGGUCUUGCUGUCACUUAUAGAUGGAUCCGCGCUGCAUUAGCUGGUUGGUAAGGUAACGGCUUACCAAGGCAACGAUGCAUAGCCGACCUGAGAGGGUGAUCGGCCACACGGGAACUGAGACACGGUCCAGACUCCUACGGGAGGCAGCAGUAGGGAAUCUUCCGCAAUGGGCGAAAGCCUGACGGAGCAACGCCGCGUGAGUGAUGAAGGUCUUCGGAUCGUAAAACUCUGUUAUUAGGGAAGAACAUAUGUGUAAGUAACUGUGCACAUCUUGACGGUACCUAAUCAGAAAGCCACGGCUAACUACGUG
rnacentral:rRNA from 1 species